AUUGAACGCUGGCGGCAGGCUUAACACAUGCAAGUCGAGCGGGGUGAAGUGCUUCGGUACUGAUCCUAGCGGCGGACGGGUGAGUAAUGCUUAGGAAUCUGCCAUUUAGUGGGGGACAACAUUCCGAAAGGAAUGCUAAUACCGCGUACGUCCUACGGGAGAAAGCAGGGGAUCUUCGGACCUUGCGCUAAAUGAUGAGCCUAAGUCGGAUUAGCUAGUUGGUGGGGUAAAGGCCUACCAAGGCGACGAUCUGUAGCGGGUCUGAGAGGAUGAUCCGCCACACUGGGACUGAGACACGGCCCAGACUCCUACGGGAGGCAGCAGUGGGGAAUAUUGGACAAUGGGCGGAAGCCUGAUCCAGCCAUGCCGCGUGUGUGAAGAAGGCCUUUUGGUUGUAAAGCACUUUAAGCGAGGAGGAGGCUACCUAGAUUAAUACUCUGGGAUAGUGGACGUUACUCGCAGAAUAAGCACCGGCUAACUCUGUGCCAGCCGCCGCCGUAAUAC
rnacentral:rRNA from 1 species